rnacentral:snRNA from 1 species
GUCCCAAUUUUAUUGGGGACAUCCGAUAAAAUUGGAACGAUACAGAGUAGAUUACCAUGGCCCCUGCGCAAGGAUGACACGCACAAACCGAGAAAUAGUCCAAAAAAGG